rnacentral:lncRNA from 1 species
GGAGUGUUUCGUCAUCAAUAAAAGAUACACAGCCAUUGAAUAUUUAAAUAUAGUGAUCUGAUUCUUCUUCUGAGACUUACCGGUCCGGUCUUGUCUUUUCCAUCCUUAAUUGAGCUGAAUCGGGUGUAUUCAUUCUCAUUCUUUUUUCUAAAAUGUGAAUAUGUGAUUUAAGCUUCAUUUUGUUUUUGCGUAAGUGAUUUAAGCUUCAUACACUUGUAGAAUAUACAAAGGUUCUAAGUUGGUUCAUGAAUCAUCACCAACCAAUAGCUAGUUUUCCUGGCCAUCUAAUUAAGGCGUUCCUUGCUUUUGACAUGGCAAUUAUCAUUUUGUAACUCAUCGGCUUGCUUCUAUACCAAACACUUAAACAAUCCCCACCGGUAUAUAGUAAAAAUGAAUGUGAAACCAUGGUGGAAUGUUUUUUUUUUCUUUCUAUUGCCAACUCCCUGAAAGCCCUUGAAUUAUUAUCCUACUUGAAAGCAUAUUUUUUCUGCAAAAUUUUAGAGUAAAGUAAAAAGAUUAAUCAUUUGGAACUUGGUAAAUUGGUAUUACAAUUAGAGUUUUAGAGUAAACAAUAAUUCGAAAUUAUUGUUUGAGUACCUUUACUUUUCUUUGUUUCCUCAAAAUAUGUAGGUCGGCAACGUGAUGCCCUUAUGAUUAGCAACUGCAUCUCUGAAUUAGUCAUGUUGUUUACUUUGCGUCUUCCUGUUUUCUCUUACAAAUUCAAGGCGUGAAGCAUAAUAAAGACCUUCACUAUCAGAUUGCCAAAUAUCACUCUGCAACUCUUUGAACUCUGCAUAUAUUGCCAAAUACAUAAACUAUCAGAUUAAAAAAGAGUAAAUGCGAAUCUUCUCAAUUCUCAAAAUUCAAGACAGGGAAUUAUCCAAUGACCUAAGCAAUGAUUAGGUAAAGAUGAUAAAGUUCCAAUCACCUAGAAUUCCCAGCCCCUCCGUUCCAAUGAUUAGGUAAAGAUGAGUCGUCUAUCUCUCCUGAGGGAUACUUGAAUAAAUUACUAAGACACAAACAGUAAGAAAUUCUUUGCCCAUGGCUGAUUCGAUGAGAAACCAGACGUGAGCAAGCAAGAAAACAUAAAUAUUAAAUUGUAAAAGAUUAAACGGAAGAUUGAAAGUGAACCUAAGAAUCUGAUUUGGAGCCACGCUUUAAUUCUUGGUUUUUAAGAAAAAUAACGAAUGAAAAGAAGCCAAACUAUGAGGAUGAUGGCAAAGGGAUAAGAGAAUAAAGAGAAAAUUGUGUCUUAUUCAUAUCAAAGAAAGAGUAUAUAUACAUAUUACAGGGAACCCUAAACAUACUUAAGGAUAUUAACAUAAAACUCUAGGAAUUAUACUAUAUUUACAUAUAACUCCCUAAUACUCCCCCUCAAGUUGGAGCAUGAAGAUUAUACAUGCCCAACUUGCGCCGUAAAUAAGCAAAUUGUUGAGAACCCAAAGCCUUAGUAAAGAUAUCCGCUGGUUGCUCCGUAGUGGUAAGAUGUGCAGUAACCAGUGAACCAUCCUGAAUUUCAUCCGGAAUAAAAUGACAAUCCCUCUCAAUAUGCUUCGUCCGCUCAUGAAAAACUGGAUUGGCAGCAAUAUGUAAGGCUGCCUUAUUGUCACAAAACAAACGUAUCGCCUGCGGAUGAGACACUCCAAAACAUCCUAAAAGCUCACGAUUCCAUUUCAACUCUCGGGCAGUAAAACUCAUUGCACGAUAUUCAGCCUCUGCGGAAGAAAAUGACACCACAUCUUGUUUCUUUGUCUUCCAAGCAAUCGGAGAAUCACCCAACAUAACAAUAAAGCCUGUAACCGAUCUCCGAGACAUGGAACAUGUAGAAAAAUCCGAAUCACAAUAAGCUGUCAAUUGUAAAUCAGGAUCAGCACUCAACACAAUACCUUGACCCGGACAGCCUUUAAGAUAUCUGACAACCCGUGUAACUGCAGCCCAAUGCUUGGCACGUGGUUGUUGCAUAAAUUGAGCCAACAUAUGCACAACAUAGGACAAAUCUGGUCGAGUAAAAGUAAGAUAUACCAAACGCCCAACAAGCCUCCUAUACCUCUCGACAUCCUCAUAAAACUCUCCCUCAUCAUCCGGCAACUUAUGGUUUUGCUCAAGCGGAGUAGACACUGGUUGACAUCCCAACAACCCACAUUCACUUACAAUAUCCAAAGCAUACUUCCUUUGCGACAAAUAAAAACCAUCAGGAGACCGAGAUACUUCAAUGCCCAAAAAAUAUUUCAUAGCCCCCAAGUCUUUCAUAUGAAAACAUUCACUAAGAUAUCCCUUAAACUCCUGAAUACCUUUAAGAUCAUUUCCCCCAAUCAACAAAUCAUCAACAUAGACCAACACAAAGAGUUGCAUAGAUCCACGCUCCAAGGUAAAAAGAGAGUAAUCGGCUACCUGCUGAGCAAACCCAUACCCUUUUAGUGCUGCUGCAAGCUUAGCAAACCAACAGCGUGGUGCUUGACGGAGACCGUAUAAAGAUUUCUUAAGUCGACAAACUUUUGAUUUAUCUUGAGAAACGAAGCCAGGAGGUAGUCUCAUAUAAACUUCUUCCUCAAGAUCCCCAUGUAGAAAUGCAUUAUGAACAUCCAUCUGAUGUACUUCCCAUCCUUUGACAGCCGCAAUCUUAAGAAACUCUCGAAUAGUUGUCAUUUUCACAACCGGAGCAAAUGUCUCAUCAAAAUCUAACCCUUCGACUUGUCGAUUUCCCAUGGCCACCAAACGAGCCUUGUAACGCUCAAUUUCCCCAUUCGACUUAUACUUGAUAGUAAAUAUCCAAUGACUGCCAAUAGCUUUCUUUCCUGGUGGAAGAUCAGUAAUAUCCCAAGUAUCAUUUGCUUCCAAAGCAUUCACCUCUCCAGACAUCGCAUUGCACCACUUAUCAUCCUUAACAGCUUCAGAAUAUGACUUAGGAACUGACACAGCAGUAAUAGCCGCAAGAAAAGCUCUCUGUGAAUCAGAAAAUCGGUCAACUCACAUAAUUUGCAAUAGGAUAGAGGACCGUACCUGGAGCAGAAGACGCUGGAGAGGAGGCAGAUGAGAGUGUGGGUGGAUCUAUGGAGCAACGUGUAGUAUGAAGUACAUAAUCACUUAGAUGACCCGGAAGUUUUCGUUCCCGUUCACUUUGGCGGACUUUGAUCACUUUCCCAUUCGAGUUAUCAUCACUCAAUGUUGCAGUAGUUGGUGAUGAUUCACUCCCCCUUUCGUCCAAAGUAAGAACCGAUGUAUGCUUAGGACCUUCAGACCCCUGAAUUUCAACUCCCGUUGGUUCUACAGGUGGAUCGAUCGAUCCAGGAGACUGAUCGAUCGAUCCAAUCGGCUCGGAGGUUUGUUGACAUCGGUCCGGAUCGAUCGAUCCCCUCUGUGGAUUGAUCGAUCGCUCAGCCUCUGGGAUUCCGUCGUCGGACAAUGUAGCCGGAUCGAUCGAUCCAUGUGGCAGAUCGAUCGAUCCCGAGUCUCUGGGAAAAAUUGGAGCAUCGUCAAUAAGUAGUGGAUCGAUCGAUCCCGGCUGUGGAUCGAUCGAUCCCUGUUCCAACGUCUGAAAUGGAAACACAUCUUCUUGAAAGACCACAUCUCGUGAAACAAAAAAUUCAGAUUUCUCCAAAUCGUACACCCUCCAUCCUUUCUGUCCGAAAGAGAAACCCAUAAACACACAACGCCGGCUCCGUUCCCCAAAUUUAUCCUUAUCUCGAAGAACAUUCUUAGCAAAACAUAAGCUACCAAAGACCCGUAAUGUCGUAAAAUUAGGUGCCGUACCGAACAACAUCUCAUAAGGUGUCUUGCCCUGAAGAACUAUAGAUGGUGUGCGAUUAAUCAAGUGACAAGCAGUAAGAACACAUUCUCCCCAAAACUUACGUGGUAAGGUGGCUUGAAACAUCAAUGAGCGAGCCACAAUCAGAAUGUGUCUAUGUUUCCUCUCCACUCGACCAUUUUGUUGAGGAGUAUAGACACACGAAGUUUGAUGCAUGAUCCCUUCAUCCACAAAAUAAGAUUUCAAUCCCAUAAAUUCUCCACCAUUGUCACUACGAACUACCUUCACCUUUUUGUCAAAUUGGCGCUCCACCAUCUUAAAGAAAUUCUUAAGAGUCACUGCUACUUCACUUUUCUCACGCAACAAGUGCACCCAAACAGCCCGUGAAUAAUCAUCUACAAUCGUCAGAAAAUACGCAGCCCCCGAAGUAGAUAAUAUGCGAUAUGGACCCCAAACAUCACAAUGAAUUAAAUCGAAAAUGCCAGCAGCUUUAUUAGAACUUUCAUGAAAGCAAUCACGGGUCUGUUUCGCCCUCAAACAAAUAUCACAAACUGUUGUGGAACUCACUGGUUUCAUAAUAUCUAAGUAAUGCGAUAAAUAAGGAACAACACGACUUGACGGAUGACCAAGACGACGAUGCCAUAAUUCCCAUGAUCCUGAACUGCUUACAGUCUUGUGUAUCUUCGCACCAAUCACCCCUCGAAGCACGUACACGUCCCCACACUCUUCACCAACCCCAAUCAGCGUCUUUAUAGCACGGUCCUGUAUAACACACAACUCAUCAGUGAAUGUAAUGGAACCCUUAACCAUUUUCAAUAACUUUGCAACAGAAAUUAAGGAGCAUGUUAAAUCUUUUGAAUACAAAACUCCUUGUAACCACAAAUCACCCCCGAGACAUAUAUCUCCCUGUGUCGUGGACACCACAUGAUCACCAUCCGGAAGUCCAAUCAUACAAGGAUUGGUAUUCACCACAUUAGACAAAUAGUCUAGAUUACCAGUCAUGUGGUGUGACGCACCUGUGUCAAUAAUAAAGUCAACCCAUUCUUUCUUACCAUUCAACUUCUCAUUGGGAUUUGACUUUUGAGAAGCAAAGAGACCCUUGAGAGCAUUCCAUUGAUCAUCACUCAUUUGGGGGAGAGAUUGACGAUCCAAAUCAGCCGGUGUUCUUGUUGAAUUAGCUUGUAUUCCCCCAACAAUAUUUGCCUGAACACCCGUGACCGCGUUAGCCCUACCACCGGACCCGCGACCACAUCCAAAUCGGCCACCACGUCCUCCACGUCCACGUCCACCUCUCCCCACCAUUCAGAAAGGCCAAUUAUCUGAAAGCAAUCAGCCUUUGCAUGCCCAUACUUACCAUAAUGAGUACACGUCACGUCCUUCUCGCGAUAAAAAUUGGAAGUUUGACCCCGUUGCGCAGCCUGGACCGCAAACCCCACAGCCUCCGGAGUGGCAUCACGAUUCCUAGUAAUCGUGAGUUGUCUCUCUUCUCGAAUGAUCCUUUGAUAGACUUUUGAGAGCUUGGGUAGUGGUUCCAUACUUGUGAUAGUAGAACGCACCAUACCAAACUUCGCAGAAUCUAAACCAUUCAAGAAGGUAUUGGUUCUCUCUUCAUUACGGUCUUCUUCCAACUGAGCAGCCAGUUUUCCACAACCACAUGAUCGAAUAGGCUUGUAAAUUGCCAAUUCAUCCCACAUCUUCUUAAGUCUCCCAUAGUAUACCAUUAUCGUAUCCCCGUUCUACAGUUUGCUAUAUCAGCCCGAAGCUCACUGAUUCUUGGCCCGUUUCCCGCAGAGAAUUGAAGCUUCAAAUCUUCCCACAACGCUUGAGCUUCAUCCACCAUAGAAAUCGAUGUCCUGAGAGUCGGCUCAAUCGUGUUCAUAAUCCAAGCGAUUAAAUAGAAUUAACCACUUCCCACUGUUCAAUCUCAUCAUCCUUGGUAGGUUUCUCCAAGGUCCCAUCAAUAAACCCUAAUUUCCGUUUCGUUCGCAAGGCGUUCCGCACAUGCUUAGCCCAAUCUUCAUAGUUUUCUCCCUUUAAUUGAACAGUAGUGAUCACAUUACCCGGUCCAUCAGAAGGAUGGAGGUAAAGUGGAGAGGCCCUAGCUUUCUCCGCCACCGUGAGUCCACUUCCACCGCCGCCUUCCGCAGCUUUCUUGCUCAAUGCAAGCUCUCCUCCUCCGCUAUUCUCACCAUCAGCCAUAGUCUCUUCUCUUUCUCCCUUUGUUUGAUUUUCUUCUUAAAACCCUAGCUCUGAUACCAUGCCAAAGGGAUAAGAGAAUAAAGAGAAAGUUGUGUCUUAUUCAUAUCAAAGAAAGAGUAUAUAUACAUAUUACAGGGAACCCUAAACAUACUUAAGGAUAUUAACAUAAAACUCUAGGAAUUAUACUAUAUUUACAUAUAACUCCCUAAUAGAUGAGGCAAAGAUGAGAGAUCGAAACAUGUUUAUAUAUGAGAAUCACGAAGUGGUUUUUUUUAGAAGGAUGGGCGAGAAAAAGAGAUCGUGGAGUAGUGCCUCGUGAAACAGUUAUUUUGUUUGAUUAUCGUCUUUUACGGAUUAUGGGUUUUUUACAGAUUUCUCUGGAACAAUAUAAGAGAGAAGAAAAUUAAAUACGUUUUUC